CCUUGCAUCUGAAAAUAGUAUUUAACAAUUCUCUGUGUUACUCCUAAAAUCGUCUAACGUAUUUUUUAUUUAACAAUUUAACAUAUGGGUGACUAAACUGGCAGUUCCACUUGCCAUAUGCUAUUUUCAGUCAAAUUUCCAUAUUGGAUUUUUUUUUUUUUGUAAUAAGAUUAAAAAAAUAGAAAAUAAAAUAAAAGUUGAAGGUGUCAUUACAGUUUCAGGUUUAUCAGGGGAAAAAAUUCUGCAUUUUGUAAGUUGAUCAGAUGAAAUUAUAUUGUGAAAAAGGCUAUAAGAUAUCUUCAGUUUUUUUGUCAAUAUGUGAAAUUGUGAAUAAACGGAGAUGUUGGACAUACGUCAAACAGACAGCAGACGAAAC
rnacentral:lncRNA from 1 species